rnacentral:rRNA from 1 species
CAGUAGCCGCGGUAAGACAGAGGAUGCGAGCGUUAUCCGGAAUGAUUGGGCGUAAAGCGUCUGUAGGUGGCUUUUCAAGUCCGCCGUCAAAUCCCAGGGCUCAACCCUGGACAGGCGGUGGAAACUACCAAGCUGGAGUACGGUAGGGGCAGAGGGAAUUUCCAGUGGAGCGGUGAAAUGCGUUGAGAUCGAAAAGAACACCAACAGCGAAAGCACUCUGCUGGGACGACACUGACACUAAGAGACGAAAGCUAGGGGAGCAAAUGGGAUUAGAGACCCGCGUAGUCCCUGUCUCUUAUAC